CACACACACACACACACACACACACAAGCACGAACGCACGCACACGCACACACGCACACCAGUCCCAUACUCUUCUGAGUCUUGUGCUUAUGAGGUCCCGAGGGGCAGGAGGACCCUUACCAGAAGGGGAUGGAGACUCAUCGCAGCCCUCGUUUGGAGGACCCGGUCCUUGUCCAGAUGCCAUUUUUCAGGUCUUGGUGGAGAGCACCUUCACUCGUCACCUGCAGAGACGGGCGUGGUGAUGUAUGACUUUAAUCCCAGCACUCAGGAGGUAGAGGCAGGCAGAACGCUUGAGUUGGAAGCCAGCCUGGUCUACAUAGUGAGUUCCAGAGAGGCUAGCCAAGGCUAUACAGUGAAACCCUGUCUUAAGGGAAAAAAAAGGGGAGAACUCAGAGUGGCUGCCCUGGUCACCACAGGGCAGGGCACCCUGCUUCCUCAAUUGCCCAGAAGACUAUACAGUCAUCUGAGACUAAAGUUCUGCCACCUUGAGGACCUGGUGGUAUGUCUUGGGAGCAAUUUGAAUUCAGGGGAAACACAAGGACUGUUGAGGCAGCCAGGCAGAGACCAGAUAAAGUCCCAGUUGCCUGGCAUCCAGGGUCACCAGAGUUUGGGCAAGAAGGGACGCUUUCUGAUGUAUACCCAGAGGCCCUGUUUGGAUUAUGCCUCCAGCUUGGCUUUAAAGACCACUCAGAGAAACUGCAUCAAGGCCUCCCUCCUCACCGGCUUGCCCAUGGAGCUUUCUGCCCCACCCUGGGCCAGAGUUGCCCGGGAUUAGGAAGAUGGGGUUUGGCAGGCACUGGCUGCCCGUGUACCUGAAUGACUCCGCUCCAGAUGUGGGGAUGGCUCAGGUUUCUGAAGACAAAGAUCCCGAAGGCCUGCUGGCUGCUUCCAGGGCCAGGGUUUCAGGCCUGACUGGCAGGAACUGGUAUCAGUGAAUUCAUGGUUGCUGGAUGCCGCCUCGGGUCGCCUCUUGGCCCAGGAAACCUCGCGACUUUGUGACCAUAGAGGAGCUAGCAGCUCCCGGCAGUGAUCAGCUCCCUCUAGAGGACGUUCUUGAUGGCCGCCGGAUGCAGAGGCACAGGGAGGCUGCUGCUUAGAGGAAGGUCCUUGGCCUGGCCUGGAAACAACUGCUCUGCAGCCUCCCCUGCCUGCCCUGUCUCUGCCAGCCAAGGGGAAAAGCUUUCUGUUUUCUGCCUUUCCUGUCUCUGAUUCUGGGGCCUCCUCUUCCAUCUUCUCCCUCUAGUGAAAAGCAAACCACAAACAAUGACAAAAACCAGGAGGGAGCUGAGGUGGGCAGGGCAAACCUGUGGUCCCAGCAUUCAAGAAGCUGAGGCAGGAGGAUCAUGAAAUAGAGGCCAGCCUGUGCUAUAUAACACCUUGAAAGAAAAGAGAAGAAGGAGGAAGAGGAGGAAGAAGACAACGAGGAGGAAGAAGACUCAGAAUUUGUGCUGUCCUAGAUUCCUGCAAGCCGCCAGGCUUCUGGGACUAAUCUCAAAUCCAGAAUAAACAGGAGUUUAUGGAAAGACAGGA